CAAUCAAACCGGGAGAUAGCUGGUUCUCCCCGAAAGCUAUUUAGGUAGCGCCUCGUGAAUUCAUCUCCGGGGGUAGAGCACUGUUUCGGCUAGGGGGCCAUCCCGGCUUACCAACCCGAUGCAAACUGCGAAUACCGGAGAAUGUUAUCACGGGAGACACACGGCGGGUGCUAACGUCCGUCGUGAAGAGGGAAACAACCCAGACCGCCAGCUAAGGUCCCAAAGUCAUGGUUAAGUGGGAAACGAUGUGGGAAGGCCCAGACAGCCAGGAUGUUGGCUUAGAAGCAGCCAUCAUUUAAAGAAAGCGUAAUAGCUCACUGGUCGAGUCGGCCUGCGCGGAAGAUGUAACGGGGCUAAACCAUGCACCGAAGCUGCGGCAGCGAACGUAUCACCCAAGACAACUUUACGGAGUUGACGAUUGACGGAGCGAAGCGACGUCAAAGCGUUCAUUAAAGUCGAGUUGGCUUAGGGAUACGUUCGUUGGGUAGGGGAGCGUUCUGUAAGCCUGUGAAGGUGUGUCGUGAGGCAUGCUGGAGGUAUCAGAAGUGCGAAUGCUGACAUAAGUAACGAUAAAGCGGGUGAAAAGCCCGCUCGCCGGAAGACCAAGGGUUCCUGUCCAACGUUAAUCGGGGCAGGGUGAGUCGACCCCUAAGGCGAGGCCGAAAGGCGUAGUCGAUGGGAAACGGGUUAAUAUUCCCGUACUUGGUGUUACUGCGAAGGGGGGACGGAGAAGGCUAUGUUGGCCGGGCGACGGUUGUCCCGGUUUAAGCGUGUAGGUGUGUGUUCCAGGUAAAUCCGGUU
rnacentral:rRNA from 4 species